GGGGAGAUACUCAAGCGGCCAACGAGGACAGACUGUAAAUCUGUUGACUUAGUCUUCACAGGUUCGAAUCCUGUUCUCCCCA
rnacentral:tRNA from 2 species